AUGGUGUUUUUUUUUUUUCUUCAUAUAUAUGUGUGCUUUAUUUUUCUAAAUUUUUGUAUAUUGUUUUCUAAAUUUGCAGAUUAUGCUAAUAUAUGUGUUUUAUUUGUUUGUCGUGUACACAUAAAACUCUCACAAAUAAAUUGUCGAGUAUUAUGUGUUUAAUCAAUUAUUUUAUUUUGUUAAGAUUCAAAUCUAUUUAUGUUCAAUUUAAAUAUCAGUUAAAGUUUGAUAGAUUACAUUUCAUAAUGGCACAUGAAUUUGUCAUAUAUAUAUUUAUUUAUUUAUAUCCUAGCAACAAACUCAAUACAACUGUAAUAAUUCUAAUUUUCAGCAUUUUAGAAUUUUCUGAAAAUUCGUUAAUGCAAGGGCAUUUUCGUCUUUUCACUUUACCAUCCGGGUUUGUGGUUGGGUCCAGUUACAUUUCCUACAUUUUAAUUUAUGUGGUGAUGUAGCAUUUGUAUGGUGCAAUUGUGUAUUUGUGGUGUAAUUAGAGACAAAAAAAUAAAGAGAAAAGGAAAAUAAUUUCAAGUGGGGCCCACCACUAACUUAUUUGGCCAAGAAAUCUUCUUUUCUUUCUCAUUUUCUUUCUCUUUCCCGUAUGCUCUCUCUCCCUCUCGGUUCCUUCUCUUUUUCUUUCAUUUUGGAGACAAAAAACUUUGAGGUUUGAUUACUCAAUCAUCUUUCAUCGGAUUUAGGAACCGUUUGAGGCGAAACGAAGCUUGUAGCGAGCUCUACGCAUCCAUACUAUCAAUUUUCAGUUUUGAGUCUUCCUUGGAGCUCGAAUUUGGAGGACCUAUUCUAGGGAUUUCGGCUUGGAUUGUGAGGUCUUGGAAAGGAACUGGUGGAUGACAACCCACCUCAAGCUUGAACGGCGUUAGAAGUCCACUUUUGUAUCUUUGUAUAUUCCCCAUUAUUUUGUAAAACACUAGAAGUGCAAAGAUGUAUAAUUAUUUUGUGGAACUUUGUCAUGUAAUAUAACUAAAGUAUUGAUGAUGUUUUGGAUGGGGAUUUGAUAGUAUGCAACUUAUUGAUGAAUGGAUGGAUAAUCCUAGUUUGAAGCA